rnacentral:rRNA from 1 species
AGCUUGCUGGGUGGAUUAGUGGCGAACGGGUGAGUAACACGUGAGUAACCUGCCCUUAACUCUGGGAUAAGCCUGGGAAACUGGGUCUAAUACCGGAUAGGAGCGUCCACCGCAUGGUGGGUGUUGGAAAGAUUUAUCGGUUUUGGAUGGACUCGCGGCCUAUCAGCUUGUUGGUGAGGUAAUGGCUCACCAAGGCGACGACGGGUAGCCGGCCUGAGAGGGUGACCGGCCACACUGGGACUGAGACACGGCCCAGACUCCUACGGGAGGCAGCAGUGGGGAAUAUUGCACAAUGGGCGAAAGCCUGAUGCAGCGACGCCGCGUGAGGGAUGACGGCCUUCGGGUUGUAAACCUCUUUCAGUAGGGAAGAAGCGAAAGUGACGGUACCUGCAGAAGAAGCACCGGCUAACUACGUGCCAGCAGCCGCGGUAAUACGUAGGGUGCGAGCGUUAUCCGGAAUUAUUGGGCGUAAAGAGCUCGUAGGCGGUUUGUCGCGUCUGUCGUGAAAGUCCGGGGCUUAACCCCGGAUCUGCGGUGGGUACGGGCAGACUAGAGUGCAGUAGGGGAGACUGGAAUUCCUGGUGUAGCGGUGGAAUGCGCAGAUAUCAGGAGGAACACCGAUGGCGAAGGCAGGUCUCUGGGCUGUAACUGACGCUGAGGAGCGAAAGCAUGGGGAGCGAACAGGAUUAGAUACCCUGGUAGUCCAUGCCGUAAACGUUGGGCACUAGGUGUGGGGACCAUUCCACGGUUUCCGCGCCGCACCUAACGCAUUAAGUGCCCCGCCUGGGGAGUACGGCCGCAAGGCUAAAACUCAAAGGAAUUGACGGGGGCCCGCACAAGCGGCGGAGCAUGCGGAUUAAUUCGAUGCAACGCGAAGAACCUUACCAAGGCUUGACAUGUUCUCGAUCGCCGUAGAGAUACGGUUUCCCCUUUGGGGCGGGUUCACAGGUGGUGCAUGGUUGUCGUCACCUCGUGUCGUGAGAUGUUGGGUUAAGUCCCGCAACGAGCGCAACCCUCGUUCCUGUUGCCAGCACGUAAUGGUGGGGACUCAUGGGAGACUGCCGGGGUCAACUCGGAG